rnacentral:rRNA from 1 species
UACGGAGGGAGCUAGCGUUGUUCGGAAUCACUGGGCGUAAAGGGUGCGUAGGCGGGUUUCUAAGUCAGAGGUGAAAGCCUGGAGCUCAACUCCAGAACUGCCUUUGAUACUGGAAGUCUUGAGUUCGGGAGAGGUGAAUGGAACUGCGAGUGUAGAGGUGAAAUUCGUAGAUAUUCGCAAGAACACCAGUGGCGAAGGCGGCUCACUGGCCCGAUACUGACGCUGAGGCACGAAAGCGUGGGGAGCAAACAGGG